rnacentral:rRNA from 1 species
AAAACGGCAUUCGGCCGCGAGGUAAAGUGGCGGACAGGGGUGAGUAACACGUGGGUAAUCUGCCCUUCGGUGGGGGAUAACUGUCCGAAAGGAUAGCUAAUACCGCAUUCGUCGGCGGGGACCUUGGUCCCUGUCGGGAAAGCCGGCCUCUUCAUGAAAGCUGGCGCUGAAGGAGGAGCCCGCGGCCCAUCAGCUAGUUGGUGAGGUAAUGGCUCACCAAGGCUUAGACGGGUAGCUGGUCUGAGAGGAUGAUCAGCCACACUGGGACUGAGACACGGCCCAGACUCCUACGGGAGGCAGCAGUGGGGAAUAUUGGGCAAUGGGCGCAAGCCUGACCCAGCCACGCCGCGUGAGUGAUGAAGGCCUUCGGGUCGUAAAGCUCUGUGGGGAGGGACGAAAGCCCGUGACCUAACACGUCACGGUUUGACGGUACCUCCUUAGCAAGCACCGGCUAACUCCGUGCCAGCAGCCGCGGUAA